CCUACGGGUGGCAGCAGUCGAGAAUCAUUCACAAUGGGGGAAACCCUGAUGGUGCGACGCCGCGUGGGGGAAUGAAGGUCUUCGGAUUGUAAACCCCUGUCAUGUGGGAGCAAAUUAAAAAGAUAGUACCACAAGAGGAAGAGACGGCUAACUCUGUGCCAGCAGCCGCGGUAAUACAGAGGUCUCAAGCGUUGUUCGGAAUCACGGGGCGUCAAGCGUGCGUAGGCUGUUUCGUAAGUCGUGUGUGAAAGGCGCGGGCUCAACCCGCGGACGGCACAUGAUACUGCGAGACUAGAGUAAUGGAGGGGGAACCGGAAUUCUCGGGGUAGCAGUGAAAUGCGUAGAUAUCGAGAGGAACACUCGUGGCGAAGGCGGGUUCCUGGACAUUAACUGACGCUGAGGCACGAAGGCCAGGGGAGCGAAAGGGAUUAGAUACCCCAGUAGUC
rnacentral:rRNA from 1 species